GCCUCAGGAAUUGGAUCCAGGCUCCACCCUCUCAGCAAUUAUCUUACCAUGGAUAAUAAAGCUUAGCAUGAAACCUCCGGCCCAAGCUGUAUGCUGGGGAAGGGCCUGCAUGGAGGCUCUCUCGUGGGAGAGGAGUUGCAUUUCCUGUGCUAAGCCUGCUCCUGGCUCAAUCUCUCCCCAGGCUGUGCUGGCUGGAGCUGCUGCCUUCAUUUACGAGAAACGGGGUGGUACAUACUGGGCCCUGCUGAGGACUCUGCUAGCGCUGGCAGCUUUCUCCACAGCCAUCGCUGCCCUCAAACUUUGGAAUGAAGAUUUCCGAUAUGGCUACUCUUAUUACAACAGUGCCUGCCACAUCUCCAGCUCGAGCGACUGGAACACCCCAGCCCCCACUCAGAGUCCAGAAGAAGUCAGAAGGCUACACCUAUGUACCUCCUUCAUGGACAUGCUGAAGGCCUUGUUCAGAACCCUUCAGGCCAUGCUCUUGGGUGUCUGGAUUCUGCUGCUUCUGGCAUCUCUGGCCCCUCUGUGGCUGUACUGCUGGAGAAUAUUCCCAACCAAAGGGGUGAGUCCCUAAGAAAAGAGACCAGAAGGAAAUGUUGGAAGUGAGUGGAAUCUAGCCAUGCCUCUCCUGAUUAUUAGUGCCUGGUGCUUCUGCACCGGCGUCCCUGAAUCUGACUGCUGGAAGAAGAACCAGACUGAGGAAAAGAGGCUCUUCAACAGCCCCAGUUAUCCUGCCCCCAUGACCAUGGCCACAGCCCUGCUCCAGCAGCACUUGCCCAUUCCUUACACCCCUUCCCCAUCCUGCUCCGCUUCAUGUCCCCUCCUGAGUAGUCAUGUGAUAAUAAACUCUCAUGUUAUUGU
rnacentral:sRNA from 1 species